AUUGAACGCUGGCGGCAUGCCUUACACAUGCGAGUCGAACGGUAACGGGCCUUCGGGUGCCGACGAGUGGCGAACGGGUGAGUAAUACAUCGGAACGUGCCCGAUCGUGGGGGAUAACGAGGCGAAAGCUUUGCUAAUACCGCAUACGAUCUACGGAUGAAAGCAGGGGACCGCAAGGCCUUGCGCGGACGGAGCGGCCGAUGGCAGAUUAGGUAGUUGGUGGGAUAAAAGCUUACCAAGCCGACGAUCUGUAGCUGGUCUGAGAGGAUGAUCAGCCACACUGGGACUGAGACACGGCCCAGACUCCUACGGGAGGCAGCAGUGGGGAAUUUUGGACAAUGGGCGCAAGCCUGAUCCAGCCAUGCCGCGUGCAGGAUGAAGGCCCUCGGGUUGUAAACUGCUUUUGUACGGAACGAAAAGCCUUCUUUUAAUACAGGAGGGUCAUGACGGUACCGUAAGAAUAAGCACCGGCUAACUACGUG
rnacentral:rRNA from 1 species